rnacentral:rRNA from 1 species
UACGGAGGUUGCAAGCGUUGUUCGGAAUAACUGGGCGUAAAGGGAGCGCAGGCGGUUUGGUCAGUCUGAAGUGGAAUCCCGGGGCUUAACCUCGGACGGGCUUUGGAUACUGCCAAACUUGAGUGCGUGAGAGGAGAGCGGAAUUCCAGGUGUAGCGGUGAAAUGCGUAGAUAUCUGGAGGAACACCGGUGGCGAAAGCGGCUCUCUGGCACGACACUGACGCUCAUGCUCGAAAGCGUGGGGAGCAAACGGG